rnacentral:rRNA from 1 species
UACAGAGGUCCCAAGCGUUGUUCGGAUUUACUGGGCGUAAAGGGUGCGUAGGAGGUUAGGUAAGUCAGGCGUGAAAUCUCACCGCUCAACGGUGAAACUGCGCUCGAUACUACUUGACUAGAGUACUGGAGGGGGAAUCGGAAUUCCUGGUGUAGCAGUGAAAUGCGUAGAUAUCAGGAGGAACACCAGUGGCGAAGGCGGAUUCCUGGAAAGUAACUGACUCUGAGGCACGAAAGCUAGGGGAGCAAACGGG